GAUGAACGCUGGCGGCGUGCCUAAUACAUGCAAGUCGAGCGAACAGACGAGGAGCUUGCUCCUCUGACGUUAGCGGCGGACGGGUGAGUAACACGUGGAUAACCUACCUAUAAGACUGGGAUAACUUCGGGAAACCGGAGCUAAUACCGGAUAACAUGUUGAACCGCAUGGUUCAACAGUGAAAGACGGUCUUGCUGUCACUUAUAGAUGGAUCCGCGCCGCAUUAGCUAGUUGGUAAGGUAACGGCUUACCAAGGCAACGAUGCGUAGCCGACCUGAGAGGGUGAUCAGCCACACUGGAACUGAGACACGGUCCAGACUCCUACGGGAGGCAGCAGUAGGGAAUAUUGCGCAAUGGGCGAAAGCCUGACGGAGCAACACCGCGUGAGUGAAGAAGGUCUUCGGAUCGUAAAGCUCUGUUAUUAGGGAAGAACAAAUGUGUGAGUAACUAUGCACGUCUUGACGGUACCUAAUCAGAAAGCCACGGCUAACUACGUG
rnacentral:rRNA from 1 species